CAGAGGGUGCAAACGUUGUUCGGAUUUACUGGGCGUAAAGCGCGUGUAGGCGGCUUGGUAAGUCGGAUGUGAAAGCCCACGGCUCAACCGUGGAAGUGCAUUCGAAACUACCUCGCUCGAGUCCUGGAGAGGAAGGUGGAAUGCUUGGUGUAGAGGUGAAAUUCGUAGAUAUCAAGCGGAACACCGGUGGCGAAGGCGACCUUCUGGACAGUGACUGACGCUGAGACGCGAAAGCGUGGGGAGCAA
rnacentral:rRNA from 1 species